rnacentral:rRNA from 1 species
CCUACGGGGUGCUGCAGUGGGGAAUAUUGCACAAUGGGGGAAACCCUGAUGCAGCGACGCCGCGUGAGCGAGGAAGUAUUUCGGUAUGUAAAGCUCUAUCAGCAGGGACGAAAAAAGACGGUACCUGACUAAGAAGCCCCGGCUAACUACGUGCCAGCAGCCGCGGUAAUACGUAGGGGGCAAGCGUUAUCCGGAUUUACUGGGUGUAAAGGGAGCGUAGACGGCAAGGCAAGCCAGAAGUGAAAGGGCAGGGCUCAACCCUGUACAUGCUUUUGGAAACUGUAUGGCUGGAGUGCAGGAGAGGUAAGUGGAAUUCCUAGUGUAGCGGUGAAAUGCUUAGAGAUCAUACAGAACACCGAUUGCGAAGGCAGCUUACCAAGCUACUUCUGACGUUGAGGCACGAAAGCGUGGGGAGCAAACAGGAUUAGAUACCCGUGUAGUC